rnacentral:lncRNA from 1 species
CUGAAUUGUAGUUCCUUCUGAAGUAGGAGAUAAUGCAACUUUAAGGAGGAGGCAAAGCUGUUCUGACUAUUUUACAGUCUCUUGGGACACAGACCCAGAUUUUAGACAGAGGAUUUUUGAAGAGGCCCCGGGAGUUUCUUCAAUCCCAAUGGAAGAGGAAAGAAGCAAAUGGCAGCUAUAGCUGAAGCCUGGAAUCUUGGGUCUAAAAUACAGAAGACAAUAAGUAGAUCGAGUCCAGUUCUUCAUCCGAGUCCUCAAAGCAGCAGCGCAAGAACCGGGGUAGUGGCAAACCUAGUGAAACCACCAGACAGUGGCCCUCUGGACCUCUUCACAGACUCACUUGGUAAAGAUACAGAUUUCUCUUGCUCCUUCCAGUAUGGAGUUAAAUGGAAAUGACAAAUUUUCUGAUAAAUCUGAUUCCAUGUUUUAAGAGCGAUUCGUCUCACUUAUAGACAGUACUGAACAUACUUUUCUUUGAGUGCAGCCAUCCAACUUUAUUUCUCUUCUAUGGUUCUUCAGAUAUAACUUGAUAUUGGGUAACCUAUGCUGAUGCAAUAUGCACAGAAUGGACACCAGUUCUACUGCAACUGAUGCAUUUUUGUUUAUUUAUUUAUUUUACCAAUUGCCUAAAAUUUGUUAUUCCUAUCUUCAGCAGUAACUUAAAAAUUUUCUGAUCUGAUCUCAUCAGCACCUAAUAAAUCUAGAAUGUGGAAGUGGUUGUUUAGGAAU